UUGGCUCAGGAUGAACGCUGGCGGCGCACAUAAGACAUGCAAGUCGAACGGAAGUCGUUAUAAAAAAGAUUGAGGAUUUAUCUGAUUGAAGUUUUAUAACAAUGACUUUAGUGGCGGACUGGUGAGUAAUACAUGAGCAACCUGCCUAUUAGAGGGGAACAACAGUUAGAAAUGACUGCUAAUACCGCAUAUGCCAUAUGAAUCACAUGAUUCAAGUGGGAAAGGAGCAAUCCGCUGAUAGAUGGGCUCAUGGCUGAUUAGCUAGUUGGUAAGGUAAUGGCCUACCAAGGCAACGAUCAGUAGCCGGACUGAGAGGUUAGACGGCCACAUUGGGACUGAGAUACGGCCCAGACUCCUACGGGAGGCAGCAGUGGGGAAUAA
rnacentral:rRNA from 1 species